rnacentral:antisense_RNA from 1 species
GUUUCCUCCAGGUGUGGAGAUGCUUGUAUCUGGGACCCCCUGCCAUUUCUCAGGACACCCUCCUGCUCCUAGCUGGGAGAUCCAGCAUCCUCAUGAAUGCGGGGCCCAAGGCCACCAACUGUUCCACCUGCUGUCAGCCAGGCCUGUUGCCCCAGCCCUACACCCACAGCUCACCCAGCAGGGACUGGAGUGUGCUGCUGCACUGCUGGAGCCGGUCGCCCGGGUCAGAGGUUGGGAAGAAGACAGCUGCUGGCAGGCCACUGGUUGGGGGGUCCAGCCGGAAGCCCACAGCGGUGAGGAGGGCCUGCCAGCCAGGGAUGCCGCCCACUUUGUUCUCCACACUCUGCUGGGACGUGUACAUGGCGUUGCGCUGCCCAUUCUGGAUGCGCUGCAGGGACUUCUCCACCUGAGGGGGAAUUGGGGUAAACACUGGGAUGCCGGAGCUCAGGCAUCCCAGACAGGAGGAAGUGUGUACUCACACCAGCCAGGAGGAAACAAGCCUGCCUGGGAGGACAGACGAUCAGCCCUGGCUGUCCCUCAGGAGCGGGGGUCCUCCAAGGCACACUGCCCACUGGGUCAAGGAGUGUCCAGGAGGAGUUAGAAGCAUGACCCAUCUGCCUGGCACCAGCACCUGGGGCUGCCAGGCAGCCACCCCUGCAGCUGUGUUGACAGGGCCUGGCAGAGGGACUGACCCACCUUUGGAAAAUGACACCAGCAAUAUCAGGAUGUGUCAACUGGAUUUAUGUUAAGAAAAUAGGAUUUUUGGUGUUCCUCUGUUUCCCAAAGUUUGAGACACUUUCAGACACUCUGCUUUGCGGUUGUGGCCGAUGUUACCCAUGGGUGGGACUUUUGCUUUGCUCUAGAUUUUUGUAACACCCUGGGGAGUUUCAGGGGCCAAUGCUGAGAGAAGACCACAGGCUGACACAUCAUGAGACCCUCUGGGCAGGUCCACUAAGAGUAUGUAUUCUAGAACAUGCAGGGCUUGAAGCUUCACAAGAUAUUCAGUGCACUCCUUACAGAUCCUGUCAAAUGUGGACCGGGUGGUGUCAUCGCACCACCAUCAUCCCCUUGUUACCCCUGAGAACACAGCUUCAGAGAGGGUAAGUAACCUAUCUCAGGCCACACAGCCAGGACAUGGAGUAGAUCCAUCCUAAGUCUUUCUACCACACACUCCUUUCUACAGUCAUGGGUUAAAUGAGGGUGCCAUGGAAUGGGUCAUCCAGUGUACACUGACAUCAGGAGGAGAUUCACAUUCAUACACUCACGGCAAAUGGUUCUGUUGCUCCCUGGUCCAAAGAUGAUCUUAAUAGUAGGAAAAACUCAUUUGGCAGAAGCAAGACUCAGCACACAGGCUCCCUCCCUGAGUCUUCUGUGGCUGGCCUUGCCCUGCCCUCCCCUCCCCAACCCCACUGGCAGAAUAAAGUCGGGGCUGUGAGGACUGAGCCCCAGGCCUUGACAGGCACCCGCAGCCGGCCGAACUCCCACCUGCCCAGUUGGAGGGGUGCGAGAAGGCCUUGCUGCUCUGCACCACCUUCAUGGCCUCCCCCAGGGCAGCACUGGCUUUCAGGCCGUUCAGCAGGGAUGAGUAGAAGGCAUGGAUGAACAUCUUAGAAGCAGCCACUGGCACAGGCCACAGAGACACGAGGACACACUGAGCGCCGGCAGCCAGGAAGGCCCUUGUCAGCGCGAUGACCCCGUCGGCUGUGACUUUGCUGUUGGACUCCUGGGAGGAGCCAAGCACCACCAGCUUCACAGGCAGCUGCAGGUCCAGGACGUCGGCGGCAGUGCCUAACUUACUGAGAAUCAUGCCUGCUGUGAUGAGCCCUUGGAAACCAUCAGGACUGGAUGGUAGGGGUCCUGAGAGGAUUGGGGGAGGAGGCCUUGAUAUGACAGAGUGGACAGAGGCUGUGGAACCCAGGACGGCCAGCCUGCUCCACAAUCCUCAUCCCCACAGACCUUCAUGUGUGGCUCCUAAAUAAGAGGAAACCCACUCCUGAUAAGUCAGGGGCUUUGAAAAGUGAUUUUGUUUAAAUGGUGCAAACAAGCAAGCCAAUCUUGGGGAGACAGGGCUAAACUAAGUCCUUUAAGAAGCUCUACAUACUGACAAGAUUCUAGUUCCCUUCCACCUUAUAUGCUGCAAAGUAAAAAGUAUCACUGAAUGAGAAAAUCAGCAUAAAGAAGCCCAAUAAUGUCUGCCUGAGUUUCCCCUAUGAUGACUUUUGGUACUUUUUGGGAAACAUUAAGUAUGAAGUUAUUUCAAAAUAAUUUUUUGGUGCCUCUGCUUGGUGAUGCCUUAAACUCUGGGUAAGAGAAACACCAGGUGCCUGUCAGGAGAUGGUCUUUUCCAGGUUUCUGGUUAAGCUACAAACAGCUAGCUGGCUGUUGUCAUCAAAAUAAAAGCUUUCUGAAGGUGGAGGCAUCUGAUACCCAGAGUGCUGCUAUCAGCCGGCACGGUGGGCCGCUGGGUGGCAGGAGCGUCGAGAAGGCCAGCUCGCUUCCUAUCCGGGAUUCAGAAUCAGCUAUGGAAACUUGAGAGACCUAGAGAAAAUAACUUCUUUCACUUUGAACUGAUUCUUUGCUCCAUAAGAAAAGUAUUAUCCAGCCACAAAAAUGGUCAAAAUUCAGAUCUACAAAAACCUGUCAGGCAGAAACUGACCCCACUUAGGCCACGCCAAUGAGCAAGUCAUCAAAGCAGCCAAGACAGGUCCUGUGGGGGCCACCCAUGCACAGGGCCCAGCCUCGGUUCCUAACCCCGCCUAUGCUUUCCGCCACCAUAAGGAGGCCCAUCUGGGUAAGACCUGUCCCGCCCGCCGUCGGGUAUUAGGGCAGAUGGGGUCUGAGGGCUCUGAGAGCAGCUGGCAGCUCAAGGACAUCCAGAGUUGGAGGAUGGAGCAAUGCAGGCCCUUGUGGUAAAGACAGUCCUGCAGCUGCGCAGGCAGGGAUGCUGCAAGUGGAGUGCCAGGCGGGUGCGGAGCCCUGUGGGACUGUGGAGGGGUCAGAGGGAAGCCAGGAUUUUGGGGUCUCUGAGAGUUUGGAGAAGGGGAAGAAGAUUAAAGCUUGUUUCAAAA